rnacentral:miRNA from 1 species
AGCUUUCGAUGGCUAGAAAAUC